AGGACGAACGCUGGCGGCGUGCCUAACACAUGCAAGUCGAACGGGGGUAGCAAUACCCCAGUGGCGAACGGGUGAGUAACACGUGAGCAACCUGCCCUUAGCUCCGGGAUAGCUCCGGGAAACCGGAAUUAAUACCGGAUACGACCACGGCUGACAUCGGCUGUGGUGGAAAGGAUUUCCGGCUAAGGAUGGGCUCGCGGCCUAUCAGCUAGUUGGUGGGGCAAUGGCCCACCAAGGCGACGACGGGUA
rnacentral:rRNA from 1 species